AAUUAUAGGGAUCCGAUCAAGUAAUGAAUCUUCAAGUGAAAGUGAUGAUAACAAAGAAAGUCUUACGCUUCGUGGAGGAACCAGUUCUGUUAGUAACGUGGAAAGUAAGACAAAAAGCAAGCAGAGUGUUCUAGCAUCUGAUGGUGGCCAAGCUGAUGCUACCAAGAAAACAGAAAGCAAACUCACUACUCAAGGUAGUAGCGGUAAGUCAAGUGAUACUGACAGCGACUCGGGCUCGCUGGAAGGCAAGCAGAGUGUUAUAUUAUGUAAGACUUAUAAAAGUGACGCUACCAUUAGAAAUG